UCUGGUGUGUUUUUCUCUGACCUCUUGGCAGUGUGCAGUUUCCAUUCUUCCUCACGUGGAAGUGUGACUGCCAGGAUCAGGCCCCCCUUUGGCUCACUCAAAGUCAGACUGGCUGGUUCCCCGGGUUUAAAAUCAAUUUGU